rnacentral:lncRNA from 1 species
AACGUGUACUUUCGCCCUGCGAUGGGCCGCACAUUUUCGCCGCCAGUCUUUUGCUCCUGUUUCAGGUAUGCGCGUGAGCCACUGCGCCCGGCCCCAACAUGUUUUUCUAAUGCUUAAGGAAACCCGGAGAUAAUAUUCCCAUGUUUUGCCACUUAGUAAAGCAUUUUAUAUGCCUGUGUCAGCGAGCACAUAGCUGCAAGUGUAGCCCAUGGCCAGUCUGUCACUGUGUCCUUGGCAGAAAAAAAGAAUCCAACAAAUCGGUAGGUUUUUAUAUUUAAGACAUGGCACUUGCAUUUUAUUAUGCUGGCGUGCAUCCCCAGCAUUUGGAUAAGGGGCCAAGGUCAAGUCUCUCAGACUGUUGGCUGACAAACAUUAAACCUGGAAAUCCUAACAGAGUGUAUGAAAAACAAUUACAGUCAAGGGAACAUGAUAGAGAAAGCUUCGGUCAUCUUAGAGAAUGCAUAUAUUGCCAUGAAGAGAACAUUGGUUUAAAAAAAAAUGUUCAAGAGAAUGAAAAGACAAGUCACAGACUGGGAGAAAAUACUUGCAAAGUACAUAUCUGAUAAAGAACUGAUAUCCAAAAUAUAUAAGAACUCUUAAAACUCAACAAUAAGGAGACAAACCGAUUAAAAAAAUAGGCCAAAGACCCUAACAGAUGUCACCAAAGAAGAUAUGCAGAUGGAAAAUAAGCAUAUGAAAAGAUGCUCCACAUAUGUCCUCAGUGAAAUGCAAAUUAAAACAAUGGGAUGCCACUAUACACCUGUCAAAAUGGCCAAAAUCCAGAACCCUGACAAUACCAAAUGCUGACAAGGAUGUGGAGCACAGGAACUUUCAUUCAUUGCUGGUGGGAAUGCAAAAUAUUAGAGUUACGUUGGAGGACAGUUUGACAAUUUCUUACAAAACUAAACAUACUCUUACCAUAUGAUCUAGUAAUUGUGUUCCUUGGUAUUUAUGCAAAGGAGUUGAAAAUGUAUGUCCACACAAAACGUGCCCAAGAAUGUUUAUAGCAGCUUUGUUCAUGAUAGGCAAAACUUGGAAGCAGCCAGAUGUCCUUCAGUACAUGAAUGAAUACAUAAACUAUGGUACAUUCAGACAAUGGAACAUUCAGUAAGGAAAAGAAAUGAGCUAUCAAGCUACCAAAAAGGAAGAACAGAAGAAUAUUAAGUGCGUAUUGGUAUUCUCUUGGCCAAACUCAAGCAGGAGUCAGAGGAUAAAGAAGCCCAUUGAAAAUGUCCAUACUGAUCAGCGCCAGGGCAGGCAACAAGAUGCAGAAUGGGGCCAGGGUACCUGGAUGAUACACAGCACAAGGUCUAAAAUUGAGGAAUCAAGAAAUAGCAAGACGGCCAGAAUAGCCCUGAAAAUCAGUGCAACCUCGGACAUCCAUGGUUAAAAGUCAGACCCUGUUUUGGAAAUGGCUGGGAAGGGCGGCUUUCUGUUCCUUCUCAAGCCAACGAAGUUGCUCUUCUUUCUUUGCUCAG